rnacentral:rRNA from 1 species
GACGAACGCUGGCGGCGUGCUUAACACAUGCAAGUAGAGCGGAGCGGCGAACGGGUGAGUAACGCGUGAGUAACUGCCCCCCUCUCUGGGAUAACCGUUGGAAACGGCUGCUCAUACCGGAUAGUGGGGGAUGACUCGCGUCCUAUCAGCUUGUUGGUGGGGUAGUGGCCUACCAAGGCGACGACUGGUAGCCGGCCUGAGAGGGCGACCGGCCACAUUGGGCGGAGAUACGGCCCAAACUCAGACGGGGGGCAGCAGUGGGGAAUAGUGCACAAGGGGGGAAACCCGGAAGCAGCAACGCCGCGUGCUGGAGGACGGCCUUCGGGUUGUAAACCGCUUUCAGCCAUGACGCGGUAGUGGCAGAAGAAGCACGGGCUAACGACGUGCCAGCAGCCGCGGUAAUUC